UUAAAAACGCCUUAAUUAAUAAAAGCAAAGUUCUAACAAAAUUUCUUUUCAUCUUCUCUCUAGCAAAUCCCUUUUUACCCUACGCUUGAGAGCUCCCUCUCUGGCUGAAGUUUGUCUCUUCGUUGCUACUCCUCUUUCUCAGCCAUUCCAUGGCUGUUGUAGCCAUCGGAUAGCCUCCUUCCGAGGUUAUCCAUUUCCCCAAACGCCACCUAUAUCACCCUUCUUAAUCACAAUGUCCAAAAUAGUCCCACACAACUCAUCUCUCAGAUCUGAAGCUUCACACUUAGCCAGUCGAAAAUCAUGAUUUGCCACCUGAAAACUCCAUUGAUAGUUGAGAAACCUAGUAACCUAAAUCUCUAUGGUGGGAGUUCGUAGCAUGCUAAGAUGAUUCAGGAGAAUAAAACUCGAAGAUAGUUGGCAGGAAAAAGUGGAAGCACAAAAUGAGGAGGAAGAAGUGAUGGAUAUAAGGAGCCAACAAACAAUGUCUUGAAGACUUGAUGAGUUUACAAGUCAAGAUGCAUGAUUUGAAGACUUUAAGUUGCUUAUCAAAUUUAGUCGGGACUAUUUGACAAAUUUCUUAUUUUUUGUAAUGAAUGUUGGUAACUUAUAUUUGAUAGUACGGUUCUACAUAUGGAAUGGUGAUCUACUUUUUGUAUGUAUGAAAAUAUGAUAUUAUUUAUAUUCUGCCUACAUUCAUUGUUUAUA